rnacentral:rRNA from 1 species
AGAGUUUGAUCCUGGCUCAGGACGAACGCUGGCGGCGUGCUUAAACCAUGCAAGUCGAACGAGACGGCAGCCCUCGGGUUGUCGUUUAGUGGCGAACGGGUGCGUAACACGUGAGAAACCUGCCCCGGAGACCGGGAUAACUGGAGGAAACUCUGGCUAAUACCGGAUGCCCUCGGAUGGUCGCAUGACCAACCGAGGAAACGCUCUGGUGCUCCGGGAGGGUCUCGCGGCCUAUCAGCUUGUUGGUGGGGUAACGGCCUACCAAGGCAAAGACGGGUAGCUGGUCUGAGAGGACGAUCAGCCACACUGGGACUGAGACACGGCCCAGACUCCUACGGGAGGCAGCAGGUGGGAAUAUUGCGCAAUGGGCGAAAGCCUGACGCAGCAACGCCGCGUGGGGGAUGAAGGCUCUCGGGUUGUAAACCCCUUUCAGCAGGGACGAAACUGACGGUACCUGCAGAAGAAGCCCCGGCCAACUACGUGCCAGCAGCCGCGGUAACACGUAGGGGGCGAGCGUUGUCCGGAUUUAUUGGGCGUAAAGAGCUCGUAGGCGGUUGCGUAAGUCGGAUGUAAAAACUCAGGGCUCAACCCGGAGACGCCAUCCGAUACUGCGGUGACUGGAGUCCGGUAGAGGAGCAUGGAAUUCCUGGUGUAGCGGUGAAAUGCGCAGAUAUCAGGAGGAACACCAGUGGCGAAGGCGGUGCUCUGGGCCGGUACUGACGCUGAGGAGCGAAAGCGUGGGUAGCAAACAGGAUUAGAUACCCUGGUAGUCCACGCCGUAAACGUUGGGCACUAGGUGUGGGGCCUACUUAACGGGUUCCGUACCGUAGCUAACGCAUUAAGUGCCCCGCCUGGGGAGUACGGCCGCAAGGCUAAAACUCAAAGGAAUUGACGGGAGCCCGCACAAGCGGCGGAGCAUGUUGCUUAAUUCGAGGCAACGCGAAGAACCUUACCUGGGUUUGACAUGCACGGAAAAGCCAUAGAGAUAUGGUGUCCUUCGGGGCCGUGCACAGGUGGUGCAUGGCUGUCGUCAGCUCGUG